AAAGGUAGCAUAAUUAAUUGCCUUAUAAUUGAGGGCUUGUUUGAAUGGUUGGACGCGGUAAUAAUGAAUAUCCUGUAUUUUAGUGAAAUUAAUUUUGAGGGCACAGAAUCUUCAUAAGUUAAUUAGACGGAAAGACCCCGGGAUCUUUCGUUUUGCCUGGGGCAGGUGUUAAUAUUUUAUUAAUAUUUGGACCCUCUAAAGUUUAUUGGGUUAAGUUACCCCGGGGAUAACAGUGUAAUAGUUAAUAAGAGAUCUUAUCGAAUUAACUGCUUGCCACCUCGAUGUUGACUUAGAUAUUAAAGUAGGCGCAGUAGUCUAUUGUUUUGGUCUGUUCGACCUUUGUUAUCUCCAUGAGUUGAGUUAAGACCGGUGUAAGC
rnacentral:rRNA from 1 species